GGAUGUGAGGGCGGUAUGGCUGUGACAUCUGUCACCCCAUUGAUCGCCGGGGUUGAUUCGGCUGACCUGGCCGGCUAGGCGGGUGUCCCCUUCCUCCCUCACCGCUCCAUGUGCGUCCCCCCCAAAGCUGCGCUCUUGGUCGAAGAGGACGACCUUCCCCGAUAGAGGCAGACCGUUCUUGGGUCAAGGGCAUACGAGUACCUGUGCUCCCUGCUAGAACCUCCAAACGAGCUCUCAAGUUAUCUGAUCAAAGAUAAAUAACCACUUUGAUGAGAAUCUGCAGGACAGAGUCAAUGGGAAAGAAAUAUAUAAUGAAGGAAAAGUGUCUCAGAAAUAUU
rfam:Ailuropoda melanoleuca scaffold1074_149, whole genome shotgun sequence.